rnacentral:ribozyme from 1 species
CAAAAGGGAGGAGAGCAGACGAACAAGCAAACAAGAAAAUAGAAAGAAAGCGGCCAAAUUGUCGUAGUUUCUUUGUUUCUUUGUUUGUUAAUUGUCUAUUUAUUUCCAAUUC